GACGAACGCUGGCGGCGUGCUUAACACAUGCAAGUCGAACGGUGAAGCCUUUCGGGGUGGAUCAGUGGCGAACGGGUGAGUAACACGUGGGCAAUCUGCCCUGCACUCUGGGACAAGCCCUGGAAACGGGGUCUAAUACCGGAUAUGAUCUGAGGGGGCAUCCUCUUGGGUGGAAAGCUCCGGCGGUGCAGGAUGAGCCCGCGGCCUAUCAGCUUGUUGGUGGGGUGAUGGCCUACCAAGGCGACGACGGGUAGCCGGCCUGAGAGGGCGACCGGCCACACUGGGACUGAGACACGGCCCAGACUCCUACGGGAGGCAGCAGUGGGGAAUACUGCACAAUGGGCGCAAGCCUGAUGCAGCGACGCCGCGUGAGGGAUGACGGCCUUCGGGUUGUAAACCUCUUUCAGCAGGGAAGAAGCGUGAGUGACGGUACCUGCAGAAGAAGCACCGGCUAACUACGUGCCAGCAGCCGCCGUAAGAC
rnacentral:rRNA from 1 species